GAAAGGAAGCAGAUUUCCCCCAGUUUUCCAGGAGCACUCAAGCGCGGGACCUGGGAGGCUUUUAAAGAAAGGAGAAGAAAGGCCAGCUCAGUGAAGGUGUGGGGACAGACUACAGCAGUUGCCUGCUCCUCAGCUCAUAAAUUGAGGGACUGGCCCUGUGUGAGCCAUCAGCUACGUGAGAAAUUGAGAUGCCCCCCUUUCCUGCCAUCAUCUUCAGUCUACCUCCAGUACAUACAGUCUUAUGGCCCUGAGGUGAGUUUCAGGCCCCGGCUGACUCACGGCACUCCAGAACCUACACUUUACCCAUCAGCCAGUGUCUGCCAGUUCCAGCCCUCCAGUGGGUAGCAGCCACAUAAGCAGUGUGAUGAAGGAGCAGAUUGUGGGUGGGAUGAAAAGCUCUGUCUGUCCCUGAGGGCCAGAGCUGGAGUUCAC
rnacentral:lncRNA from 1 species